rnacentral:misc_RNA from 1 species
GAUGAAGAACGCAGCGAAAUGCGAUAAGUAAUGUGAAUUGCAGAAUUCAGUGAAUCAUCGAAUCUUUGAACGCACCUUGCACCUUUUGGUAUUCCGAAAGGUAUGCCUGUUUGAGUGUCUUGAAACCUCACACUCCAAAAGUUUUUUUGCUUUUGGAGACGUGGACUUGGGUGUUGCAAUUUGCUCACCUUGAAUGCCUUAGUGGUUCUAACCCGUAGCCUAAUGUAAAAAGUUUCAUUUGGUCAAGGGGAAGACUGCUUCAAAUCGCCUUUAGUGGCACCAUUUAAGACUAGACCUCAAAUCAGGUAGGAUUACCCGCUGAACUUAAGCAUAUCAAUAAGCGGAGGA